CUCUGCCUUCUGUUAACUAAACCAAAAGGCAUUUCCUCUUUCACUUUCGUUUUUUUCUUAGCAGUAUAAACAGCAGUAGGUGUCUGUGAACAAACCCGACAAAAAGAAUUUUCGAAACGCUAAUCGUGGAUUUACAACCUGUUUCCAAAUCUUGGUCCAAGCAGAAUACAGCGAUAUUCUGUGAAAAUUCAGUGAAAUAUUAAUUGCGGAAGAACGAAAGGAUUUCAAAGACGUCCUCUGUCAACAUACAGAUCAUACAAACAGCAACUGUCCCAUAAUGGAACUACCAAACUAUUUUAAAGGUUUAGAGAUACGCCAGGACCAAUAUGGCCAGGCAGCUUAUAUCAUGUAUCAUGGUACAACCUUUCAAAAUGCCAACAAUAUCAUAUGGAAUGGUUUUGUCCAAUCCACAGAUGGCAUGUUGGGACCUGGUGUCUAUGUGAGUCGGAGCUUUCAGAAAGCUGCUGCCUACCCUAUAACUCUCCCACCGGGGGAAGCUCGAGUUAUUCUGCAACUCAGGGUUCAAGUAGGUAAUGUGAUACAGAUUGACUAUCAAGGCCACCCACUUCAAAAGACUUGGCACCAAGCAGGAUAUGACACCGCUUGGGUUCCUCCUUACUGCGGAAUGGUACCUAGUGGACUGGAGGAGGAUUGCGUGUGGGAUCCUAGGAGGAUCGAUGUUCUAAAAGUACUGAACAAUUCUGGCGUUAUACUGUACCCUGUCAGCACUACCAUGGCUUUACCAUAUACUUUUGGGCCAUAUCCACCAUCUGGAUCUCCAGGCCCUUUCCCCCCUUAUGUUUGGUUUCGUUAGACAAGUGUAUAGAUGAAAUACAUGUUUGGGUUAUGAUGCCAAUACCUUUUGUAACCCAUAUGGCUGCCUGGCCUUAAGUUUGACAUGAUUAACGACCUAUGAACUGUAUGCCAAUGCAUGGACUGUAUUACAUAUCUGUUUAUUGUUCUGCUUUUUUCUGUAUUUGGUUAUAAAAUGGAGAUUAAAGUGGAAUCAUGCCUAAUAUUUUUUUCUGAUA